UACGAGAGGCCCAAACAUUAUUCGGAAUUAUUGGGCGUAAAGAGCUCGUAGGCGGUGUGUCGCGUCGGCCGUGAAAACCUGCAGCUUAACUGUGGGCGUGCGGUCGAUACGGGCAUCACUGGAGUUCGGCAGGGGAGACUGGAAUUCCUGGUGUAGCGGUGAAAUGCGCAGAUAUCAGGAGGAACACCGGUGGCGAAGGCGGGUCUCUGGGCCGAUACUGACGCUGAGGAGCGAAAGCGUGGGGAGCGAACAGG
rnacentral:rRNA from 1 species